rnacentral:rRNA from 1 species
UCGGGAAUUUUGGGCAAUGGGCGAAAGCCUGACCCAGCAACGCCGCGUGAAGGAUGAGGUAUUUCGGUAUGUAAACUUCGAAAGAAUAGGAAGAAUAAAUGACGGUACUAUUUAUAAGGUCCGGCUAACUACGUGCCAGCAGCCGCGGUAAUACGUAGGGACCAAGCGUUGUUCGGAUUUACUGGGCGUAAAGGGCGCGUAGGCGGCAAUUCAAGUCAUCUGUGAAAUCUCCGGGCUUAACUCGGAACGGUCAGAUGAUACUGCUUUGCUAGAGUGCAGAAGGGGCAAUCGGAAUUCUUGGUGUAGCGGUGAAAUGCGUAGAUAUCAAGAGGAACACCUGAGGUGAAGACGGGUUGCUGGGCUGACACUGACGCUGAGGCGCGAAAGCCAGGGGAGCAAACGGGAUUAGAUACCCACGUAGUCCCUGAGCGGGCUGGCAAGGCGCAU